AACCCUUGUCAUUAGUUGCCAUCAUUUGGUUGGGCACGUCUAAUGAGACUGCCGGUGACAAACCGGAGGAAGGUGGGGAUGACGUCAAGUCCUCAUGGCCCUUAUGGGUAGGGCUUCACACGUCAUACAAUGGUCGGUACAGAGGGUUGCCAACCCGCGAGGGGGAGCUAAUCCCACAAAGCCGAUCGUAGUCCGGAUCGCAGUCUGCAACUCGACUGCGUGAAGUCGGAAUCGCUAGUAAUCGUGGAUCAGCAUGUCACGGUGAAUACCGGUUCCCGGGUCUU
rnacentral:rRNA from 1 species